CUACGGAGGCUGAGGACGCAGCUCACCCGGCCCCUGGUGUCUGGAAACGUUUCGAAAAUGCGGUGAACUAGGGGAAGUCACCCAGCGAGUAAGAGGAAACGUGGGGAGAGCCCUGGGGUCAGAGGUGCUGCUGCUGGAGACCAGUAACCCCCUCCGCACCUCCACACACCCAGGCCAGCUGCCUUCAGAGGCCCUGCUUCUGGGUGCUCGGUUACAUUGCUAGGAGCCUGGGCUGGAGCCCUGGUGUGUGAGUGGGGAGCCCGAGUCAAAGGGUAAGGCACUGGAGACAGCUGGCUUCUGCAUCUGCUGAAAAACCUGCCUCAGAGCCAGCCAGCAGCAGCCGCGGCCACCUGGGGCACACAGGCCGCCUCGCAAGGUGUCUUUCUCCAGGGUCUUCAAUCCCAGGAAAAGCAAGUUCCUACUUAUGAUCUGGAAGAAUGCAAGGGAGAACCUUGUCUGACCCUGGGCACUGGACAUGGAAAGCACCAACGUUCAGUCCAUGGAGUGGGCACCCACGCUGGGGCACUCGGGCUGGGACCUGAAGGAGGCACCCGCCGGACAAGCUGUAAAGGCAAGAGGCAGCCAUGUGAGCAGGGACAGGACCCCACCGGGAUGGCCAGCUCAGAGGACACAGGGAGGUGACGCCGCUUGGAGGCCGUGCAGUUAAUCCAGAUGGGCCCAGGGACAAUGCCAAUCCACGGGAGGCAGUGACUCUGCACCAGUUUCAGACCUAGAACUGAAGAGGCCUCGGAGCGUCUACACUGGCUCUCUUGGAGCCCAGCUGCUGUGCUGGAGGGCAGUCCAGGCUCCCCCGUUUGAGAAACACAUGGAGAGGGUCUGGACGCAGCACCAACGUGGACAGGCCGUGGGAAGAAGAUCCGAGAUGCCCUGGCUGAUGGAACCAAGCUCUGGGAUGAGAGGGCCGCUGCCUUGGACCUCCUAGCCUGGCCGCCAGCUGUCCCAUGAAAGGCUUCAGCCAACAACUUGGGGAGCAGAACAACUGCCCAGGCGACCCACGGAACUGUGAGAAUAAACACUACUGGCUUGGCCACGAAGGCCUGGGUAAACUGCAGCAAGAGGUAGCUGAAACUACGGAGGGAACGACUGACCAAAGCCUUCGGGGUGAUGGUUCCCUCUGAACAGGAGAAGGGCAGCCAGGGGUCUUUUGAAAUACUAGGAAUGUGCUGCUUUUUAAACCUGGAUACAUCUAGAUUUAGUAUUUAAAUAUGCAUACUUUUGCAUGGAGAUGUGCUUUCCAUUUUCUUUCUUUUUAUUUUUUAAAUUAUUUUUCUUUUCAAGCAAAUGAAUACUUUUAUUAACACUUUUUUUUUUUUAAAACAUGGUAAGGUUUUGACCUCAAAUACUUGUCAGGUCUGCUAAUGAGACCAAAGGAGGAGAGAUGUAUUUUGUUCAAAACUUAAAUUUUACAUGGUUCGUUAUCUGACGUAAUCUGUUUUUUUACUGUUUUGCCAUAGGGUGUGUGCACUUGCUGGAGAAAGAGUGAGAGGGAAAGUGAGAAAU